rnacentral:rRNA from 1 species
GGCGGACGGGUGAGUAACGCGUAAGGAACUUGCCUCUUGGACUGGGACAACUGUUGGAAACGACAGCUAAUACCGGAUAUUAUGAGAUUCUCGCAUGAGAAACUUAUGAAAGCUAUAUGCGCCAAGAGAGAGCCUUGCAUUCCAUUAGCUAGUUGGUGGGGUAACGGCCCACCAAGGCGACGAUGGAUAGCCGGCCUGAGAGGGUGAACGGCCACAAGGGGACUGAGACACGGCCCUUACUCCUACGGGAGGCAGCAGUGGGGAAUAUUGGACAAUGGGCCACAAGCCUGAUCCAGCAAUUCUGUGUGCACGAUGAAGGUCUUCGGAUUGUAAAGUGCUUUCAGUUGGGAAGAAGAAAGUGACGGUACCAACAGAAGAAGCGACGGCUAAAUACGUGCCAGCAGCCGCGGUAAUACGUAUGUCGCAAGCGUUAUCCGGAUUUAUUGGGCGUAAAGCGCGUCUAGGCGGAAAAAUAAGUCUGAUGUUAAAAUGCGGGGCUCAACUCCGUAUUGCGUUGGAAACUGUUUUUCUAGAGUACUGGAGAGGUGGGCGGAACUACAAGUGUAGAGGUGAAAUUCGUAGAUAUUUGUAGGAAUGCCGAUGGAGAAGUCAGCUCACUGGACAGAUACUGACGCUGAAGCGCGAAAGCGUGGGGAGCAAACAGGAUUAGAUACCCUG